UGUCGAUUAAUCGAAAGUUGACAUUUGUAUCCCUAGUCGGAAGUUCAGAAGUGAAUAAGGAAAGAAAGAAUAAAAUUUUUCGAAGUAAAUCUUUAGAAAAAUGGAUUAUGAUCCAAUUCCCACGGUUGUCCCCGCCGAACCUUUGGACGUGGAGGCUGAUACAACCAAUUUGCGUGCCGCAAUGAAAGGCUUUGGCACCGAUGAACAGACCAUUAUCGAUAUUAUUACGGCCCGCUCCAAUGCUCAACGCCAGCUAAUCAAAGAGAACUUCUUGCGUGAAUAUGGUCGUGAUUUGAUCGAUGAUUUGAAGAGUGAACUUGGUGGAAAAUUCGAAGAUGCCAUAAUUGCUUUGAUGAUGCCGCCAGUCAAGUAUUUGUGCACACAGUUGCAUAGAGCCAUGGCGGGAAUGGGCACUAACGAAAGUACUUUGGUUGAGAUACUCUGUACAAAAUCUAAUGAGGAAAUGGUGGAAAUUGUCAAAUGCUAUGAGGAUAUGUAUGAUCGUCCAUUGGCAGAGCAUAUGUGCAGUGAGACUUCGGGACAUUUUCGUCGCCUAUUGACAUUAAUUGUGACCGGGGUGCGAGAUCCCGUAGGCGCCGUUGACGCUCAAAAGGCUGUGGAACAAGCUCAACAGUUGUACAGUGCUGGAGAAGCCAAAUUAGGUACGGAUGAAGAGGUCUUUAAUCGUAUCUUGGCCCAUGGCAGUUUUGCCCAACUCAGAUUGGUCUUUGAUGAUUAUAAGCAACUUUCGGGCCAGACCAUAGAGCAGGCUAUUAAACACGAAAUGAGCGGAGAAUUGCAUGAAGCUAUGAUGGCUAUUGUCCCAUAUCUGGAUUCCAUAGAGACAAAAGGAGUACUUGGAUAUAGCGUGCAUAGAGCUGAUAAAUUACGUCGUGGGGGCGGCUCCGCUCUGUAUGUGAGAAACUACCUGAAUACUCAGUUAUGUACAAAGUCUAACCCAGGUGGCCCAGUUGAGUAUGUUUUUGUUGAGGUGUCUGCUGCCGAUACCAAGCUCCUAGUGGGGUGCGUUUAUAGACUGAACAACCGUACGGAUACCAAGAUUUUUUUUCUGUCCUUGAACCUCUCUCUUUUGCUUACUCAGACAUUGUGGUUGCUGGGGACUUCAACUCUAACGUUUUACAGGACACGGGCUUGACGUUUGAAAUGUCUUCCUUAGGGCUUUUGCCUGUCAAUUCAACAAUUUCCACGCAUUUUUCCGCAUCCCCCAGCACGCUUCUCGAUAUGUACUUUGUUAGUGACACUUCUAAAGUCCUCCUAUACGACCAACUGCCAGCCUCAUGUUUUUCAAACCAUGACUUGAUCUUUUUAUGUUAUGAAUUUGAGCUCACCAGAACUAGGGAAACUUAUUCAUAUAGAGACUUUGCCCGUCUCGACCAUGAUUUUUUGUUUUCGAGUGCUGUGCUGUGGAUCUGAUAUUUCGUAUGGAAACUAUUGAUGAACAAACUGACUUUCUACAGAGGAAUAUCUGUGACCUACAGGAACUUACGGUUCCACUCAAGACUAGAGAAGUGUCCUCCAAAUCGAAACUGUGGUUCUCCCAGGAUUCACGUUCGGCUAUUCACGUGAGGAAUAUGUCGCAUCGCAGGUGGAGACGUUUCAGGACGCCUGAGUUUCAUGAUGCCUUUCGCUCAGCAAGAGACCAUGUCAAUAAGUUGAUUAAGAUAGCGAAGAAAGACUACUAUUACAGACGCUUUACUUCUGCAAUAGGCUCCAAGAGAACGUGGAAGGUUAUUCGAGACAUAGGAAUUGGGAAAGAUACUAAUAGAUGUUCAACAAACUUGGACAUCAAUGGGCUUAACGAUGCCUUUGUUAAUGUCCCACAGAUCCCAGUUGAUCCCAAUUUCUAUGGCUUCAAUGUCUCCCCCUUCCUCGAUGACGACUCUGGUUUUGGCUUCAGCUGUAUUGGUCCCACCGAUGUCCUUGAGUGCGUCGCGACUGUCUAAAAAUUCAAAGGAAUAUAGACCAAUUGCGAUUCUUUGUUACUUGUCAAAGGUCUUUGAGAAAUUGUUGUAUUUGCAAAUGUCGUCUUUUGUCAACGAGAACUCUUUGUUAUAUGUGAGACAGUCCGGGUUUCGACCUAACCACAGCUGCGUAACUGCCUUGGCAGAGGUCACUGAGAGGAUCAGGGUCAAUUUGGAGAAUGACAAGAUAAAUUUCCUUGUUCUUCUUGGCCAUUCUAAGGCAUUUGACACUGUGGAUCAUUCCUUGUUAUGCGAUAAGAUGAGACAUUUUUAAAAUUUUUCUUCUACGUCCGUUCGUCUUAUUUUUUCGUACCUGUCACACCGCACUCAGUCCGUCAGUUAUAAGUCUUCUCUAUAGGCACCUCUGCUUGUUUUGAAAGGUGUUCCUCAGGGAUCAAUUCUGGGUCCUCUUCUCUUUUCAUUGUACAGUAACGACUUGGCUGGUCGAUUGUCUUAUUGUGAUGUAUAUAUGUACGCUGACAAUGUACAAAUAUAUAUCGGCAGCCCGAGGGAUGAGAUUGCUGAAAACAUACGUCUGCUUAAUCAUGAUCUGUAAAGAGUCAGCACGUGGCCUGUGUCUCAACCCUGUAAAGUCCAAGUGUGUGGUUAUCAGAAACAGGCAGUCUCGUUUUUCAUGUGAUGUCGGUAUAUUCAUUAACGACUCUAGAUUGGAAAUCGUUCCUCAUGCAAAGAACUUGGGCGUUGUUAUUAACAGCACUCUGACUUGGAGUAAUCAUAUCGACUCUGUCGUUGGUCAGGGAUAUUCAAAAUUGCGUGCUCUGGGCCACUCAGUCGGUUACUCCGCUGCGGGUUAGGUCUCUCUUGGCAAAGAUUUAUCUUGUUCCUGGCAUUCUCUACGGCUGUGAGUUGUUUGCUAAUUGCGACUCGCACUAGUUGUUCCUAAGAUCGCUUACUAUCCUGCAUAAACUGAUCUACACGCAGGCACCACAAUAUCUGUAUGGAUUUAUUGAAUUCGCCAGAUCUACUAGAGGUAAAAAAUCAUUCCCAAAAUGUAUUGAAGGCUUGUUUCUGAAUGGCAUAUGUUCAUAUUCGCUGUACGUCUCUGGAAUUCACUUCCUAACCAUCUGCAAUUACUCAGUAACUCGGCAAAAUUUAAAACCAGACUUUGGAAACAUUUUACUGCAUUAAGUUGAUGAAUGGUAAGACUUAUUUAUUGAGUUGCCCAAAAAGUAAUUGUCGGUAAUAUAGUAGUAAUAUAGUCGGCGUUGACAAAUUUUUUCAACGGCUUAUGACUCUGUAAUUGCAUUCUUUCUUCUGUCAGUUAUCAGCUGUUACUUUUAGCUUGCUUUAGAAAAAAAGUGCGCGAAAUUUUGUUUACAUUUGUUUUUUUGGCGUCAAUUUUAAUAUGGGUACCACAUGUAUUGAAAGAAAUUCAUUUAACAAACCGAAUCAACGCUUGUGAUAUGCACCUUAAACGCAAUGAAUUCGAUCCGUUUUUAAA